GGGUCAGUAGGUUGGUCGUGCCACCGGUACGUACUGGUCUCACUGAUUCCUCCUUCCUGAAUAACCGUAAUGCCAUUAAUUUGGUGUUGCGGGGAAACAGGACUGUUACUUUGAAAAAAUUAGAGUGUUUAAAGCAAGCUAACGCUUAGAUACAUUAGCAUGGAAUAAUGAAAUAGGACGAUCGAUCCUAUUUUGUUGGUUUCUAGGAUUGACGUA
rnacentral:rRNA from 1 species